rnacentral:rRNA from 1 species
GAUGAACGCUAGCGGCAGGCCUAAUACAUGCAAGUCGAACGAGAUUGAAGAGCUUGCUCUUCAUGAAAGUGGCGCACGGGUGCGUAACGCGUAUGCAAUCUGCCUUACUCAGGGGGAUAGCCCGGAGAAAUCCGGAUUAACACCGCAUAACAUAAUGAUAUGGCAUCAUAUUAUUAUCAAAUAUUAAUAGGAGUAAGAUGAGCAUGCGUGACAUUAGCUAGUUGGUGAGGUAACGGCUCACCAAGGCGACGAUGUCUAGGGGAUCUGAGAGGAUGACCCCCCACACGGGUACUGAGACACGGACCAGCCUCCUACGGGAGGCAGCAGUAAGGAAUAUUGGUCAAUGGAGGCAACUCUGAACCAGCCAUGCCGCGUGCAGGAAGACGGCCCUACGGGUUGUAAACUGCUUUUGUACGGGAAUAAACCCCUUUAUGUAUAAAGGGCUGAAUGUACUGUAAGAAUAAGGAUCGGCUAACUCCGUGCCAGCAGCCGCCGUAACAC